rnacentral:lncRNA from 1 species
AGCUUCCGGGAUUCCAAAAAUGUAAAGAACAUUAAAAACGGGGCUUGGAAUCACUUACUAUGGAGCUUGAAAGUUGAAGAAACCCUAGCUAUGGAGAGAGGGAGAAUUCGGCAGCAACUAAGGAGGAUGAUGAUCAAUUUUGUGUUAUUUUUCCCAUUUUAUUUCAUUUAAUAUCCAAAUGACCAAAAUGCCCCUCCUUACUAAACUUUCAAAAUUCCUUCCAUGUCCUAAUUUUGUCCAUGAACUUAAAAUUGGUCA